CAUGCAAGUCGAACGGAGAUGUUUAUUUCGGUAGACAUCUUAGUGGCGCACGGGUGAGUAACGCGUGAAUAACCUGACCCGAAGAGGGGGAUAACACCUGGAAACAAGUGCUAAUACCGCAUAAGACCACGGACCGGCAUCGGUCAGAGGUCAAAGGAGAAAUCCGCUUUGGGAGGGGUUCGCGUCCCAUUAGGUAGUUGGUGAGGUAACGGCCCACCAAGCCGACGAUGGGUAGCCGAGCUGAGAGGCUGAUCGGCCACACUGGAACUGAGACACGGUCCAGACUCCUACGGGAGGCAGCAGUGGGGAAUAUUGGGCAAUGGGCGCAAGCCUGACCCAGCAACGCCGCGUGAGGGAAGAAGGUUUUCGGAUUGUAAACCUCUGUCGCAGGGGACGAAGGAAGUGACGGUACCCUGUAAGAAAGCCCCGGCUAACUACGUGCCAGCAGCCGCGGUAAUACGUAGGGGGCGAGCGUUGUCCGGAAUUACUGGGCGUAAAGGGAGCGUAGGCGGUCGAUUAAGUUAGAUGUGAAACCCCCGGGCUUAACUUGGGGACUGCAUCUAAUACUGGUUGACUUAGAGUACAGGAGAGGGAAGCGGAAUUCCUAGUGUAGCGGUGAAAUGCGUAGAUAUUAGGAGGAACACCAGUGGCGAAGGCGGCUUUCUGGACUGACACUGACGCUGAGGCUCGAAAGCGUGGGG
rnacentral:rRNA from 1 species